rnacentral:rRNA from 1 species
UACGGAGGGAGCUAGCGUUGUUCGGAAUUACUGGGCGUAAAGCGCGCGUAGGCGGCUUUGUAAGUUAGAGGUGAAAGCCCGGGGCUCAACCCCGGAACUGCCUUUAAGACUGCAUCGCUUGAAUCCAGGAGAGGUGAGUGGAAUUCCGAGUGUAGAGGUGAAAUUCGUAGAUAUUCGGAAGAACACCAGUGGCGAAGGCGGCUCACUGGACUGGUAUUGACGCUGAGGUGCGAAAGCGUGGGGAGCAACAGG